rnacentral:rRNA from 1 species
GAUGAACGCUGGCGGCGUGCCUAAUACAUGCAAGUCGAGCGAACAGACGAGGAGCUUGCUCCUUUGACGUUAGCGGCGGACGGGUGAGUAACACGUGGGUAACCUACCUAUAAGACUGGGAUAACUUCGGGAAACCGGAGCUAAUACCGGAUAAUAUUUCGAACCGCAUGGUUCGAUAGUGAAAGAUGGCUUUGCUAUCACUUAUAGAUGGACCUGCGCCGUAUUAGCUAGUUGGUAAGGUAACGGCUUACCAAGGCAACGAUACGUAGCCGACCUGAGAGAGUGAUCGGCCACACUGGAACUGAGACACGGUCAAGACUCCUACGGGAGGCAGCAGUAGGGAAUCUGACGCAAUGGGCGAAAGCCUGACGGAGCAACGCCGCGUGAGUGAUGAAGGUCUUCGGAUCGUAAAACUCUGUUAUUAGGGAAGAACAAACGUGUAAGUAACUGUGCACGGCUUGACGGUACCUAAUCAGAAAGCCACGGCUAACUACGUG